rnacentral:misc_RNA from 1 species
AAAGUCGUAACAAGGUCUCCGUUGGUGAACCAGCGGAGGGAUCAUUAGCGAGUUGCAAGACUCCCAAACCAUUGUGAACUUACCUGUACCGUUCCUUCGGCGGGCGGCUCGCGCCCUAACCUGCCGCCCCUCACGGGGCUGGCGGACCCGCCGGAGGCCCCUAAACCCUUACCUUUUUUGGCACUUCUGAGUACAACUUUUAAUAAGUCAAAACUUUCAACAACGGAUCUCUUGGCUCUG